rnacentral:rRNA from 1 species
UUAAGCGACUAAGCGUACACGGUGGAUGCCCUGGCAGUCAGAGGCGAUGAAGGACGUGCUAAUCUGCGAAAAGCGUCGGUAAGGUGAUAUGAACCGUUAUAACCGGCGAUGUCCGAAUGGGGAAACCCAGUGCAAUUCGUUGCACUAUCGUUAACUGAAUACAUAGGUUAACGAGGCGAACCGGGGGAACUGAAACAUCUAAGUACCCCGAGGAAAAGAAAUCAACCGAGAUUCCCCCAGUAGCGGCGAGCGAACGGGGAGCAGCCCAGAGUCUGAAUCAGCUUGUGUGUUAGUGGAACGGUCUGGAAAGUCCGACGGUACAGGGUGAUAGUCCCGUACACCAAAAUGCACAGGUUGUGAACUCGAAGAGUAGGGCGGGACACGUGGUAUCCUGUCUGAAUAUGGGGGGACCAUCCUCCAAGGCUAAAUACUCCUGACUGACCGAUAGUGAACCAGUACCGUGAGGGAAAGGCGAAAAGAACCCCGGCGAGGGGAGUGAAAAAGAACCUGAAACCGUGUACGUACAAGCAGUGGGAGCACCUUCGGGUGUGACUGCGUACCUUUUGUAUAAUGGGUCAGCGACUUAUAUUCUGUAGCAAGGUUAACCGUAUAGGGGAGCCGCAGGGAAACCGAGUCUUAACUGGGCGUUAAGUUGCAGGGUAUAGACCCGAAACCCGGUGAUCUAGCCAUGGGCAGGUUGAAGGUUGGGUAACACUAACUGGAGGACCGAACCGACUAAUGUUGAAAAAUUAGCGGAUGACUUGUGGCUGGGGGUGAAAGGCCAAUCAAACCGGGAGAUAGCUGGUUCUCCCCGAAAGCUAUUUAGGUAGCGCCUCGUGAAUUCAUCUUCGGGGGUAGAGCACUGUUUCGGCUAGGGGGUCAUCCCGACUUACCAACCCGAUGCAAACUACGAAUACCGAAGAAUGUUAUCACGGGAGACACACGGCGGGUGCUAACGUCCGUCGUGAAGAGGGAAACAACCCAGACCGCCAGCUAAGGUCCCAAAGUCAUGGUUAAGUGGGAAACGAUGUGGGAAGGCACAGACAGCCAGGAUGUUGGCUUAGAAGCAGCCAUCAUUUAAAGAAAGCGUAAUAGCUCACUGGUCGAGUCGGCCUGCGCGGAAGAUGUAACGGGGCUAAACCAUGCACCGAAGCUGCGGCAGCGACACUAUGUGUUGUUGGGUAGGGGAGCGUUCUGUAAGCCUGCGAAGGUGUGCUGUGAGGCAUGCUGGAGGUAUCAGAAGUGCGAAUGCUGACAUAAGUAACGAUAAAGCGGGUGAAAAGCCCGCUCGCCGGAAGACCAAGGGUUCCUGUCCAACGUUAAUCGGGGCAGGGUGAGUCGACCCCUAAGGCGAGGCCGAAAGGCGUAGUCGAUGGGAAACAGGUUAAUAUUCCUGUACUUGGUGUUACUGCGAAGGGGGGACGGAGAAGGCUAUGUUAGCCGGGCGACGGUUGUCCCGGUUUAAGCAUGUAGGCUGAUUGUCCAGGCAAAUCCGGAUAAUCAAGGCUGAGGUGUGAUGACGAGGCACUACGGUGCUGAAGUAACAAAUGCCCUGCUUCCAGGAAAAGCCUCUAAGCAUCAGGUAACAUCAAAUCGUACCCCAAACCGACACAGGUGGUCAGGUAGAGAAUACCAAGGCGCUUGAGAGAACUCGGGUGAAGGAACUAGGCAAAAUGGUGCCGUAACUUCGGGAGAAGGCACGCUGGUGUGUAGGUGAAGUCCCUGCGGAUGGAGCUGAGACCAGUCGAAGAUACCAGCUGGCUGCAACUGUUUAUUAAAAACACAGCACUGUGCAAACACGAAAGUGGACGUAUACGGUGUGACGCCUGCCCGGUGCCGGAAGGUUAAUUGAUGGGGUUAUCCGUAAGGAGAAGCUCUUGAUCGAAGCCCCGGUAAACGGCGGCCGUAACUAUAACGGUCCUAAGGUAGCGAAAUUCCUUGUCGGGUAAGUUCCGACCUGCACGAAUGGCGUAAUGAUGGCCAGGCUGUCUCCACCCGAGACUCAGUGAAAUUGAACUCGCUGUGAAGAUGCAGUGUACCCGCGGCAAGACGGAAAGACCCCGUGAACCUUUACUAUAGCUUGACACUGAACAUUGAGCCUUGAUGUGUAGGAUAGGUGGGAGGCUUUGAAGCGUGGACGCCAGUCUGCGUGGAGCCAACCUUGAAAUACCACCCUUUAAUGUUUGAUGUUCUAACGUUGGCCCCUUACCGGGGUUGCGGACAGUGUCUGGUGGGUAGUUUGACUGGGGCGGUCUCCUCCCAAAGCGUAACGGAGGAGCACGAAGGUUAGCUAAUCCUGGUCGGACAUCAGGAGGUUAGUGCAAUGGCAUAAGCUAGCUUGACUGCGAGCGUGACGGCGCGAGCAGGUGCGAAAGCAGGUCAUAGUGAUCCGGUGGUUCUGAAUGGAAGGGCCAUCGCUCAACGGAUAAAAGGUACUCCGGGGAUAACAGGCUGAUACCGCCCAAGAGUUCAUAUCGACGGCGGUGUUUGGCACCUCGAUGUCGGCUCAUCACAUCCUGGGGCUGAAGUAGGUCCCAAGGGUAUGGCUGUUCGCCAUUUAAAGUGGUACGCGAGCUGGGUUUAGAACGUCGUGAGACAGUUCGGUCCCUAUCUGCCGUGGGCGCUGGAGAAUUGAGGGGGGCUGCUCCUAGUACGAGAGGACCGGAGUGGACGCAUCACUGGUGUUCGGGUUGUCAUGCCAAUGGCACUGCCCGGUAGCUAAAUGCGGAAGAGAUAAGUGCUGAAAGCAUCUAAGCACGAAACUUGCCCCGAGAUGAGUUCUCCCUGAGACUUUAAGUCUCCUGAAGGAACGUUAAAGACGAUGACGUUGAUAGGCCGGGUGUGUAAGCGCAGCGAUGCGUUGAGCUAACCGGUACUAAUGAACCGUGAGGCUUAACCUU